rnacentral:rRNA from 1 species
CCUACGGGAGGCUGCAGUGGGGAAUAUUGCACAAUGGGCGCAAGCCUGAUGCAGCCAUGCCGCGUGUGUGAAGAAGGCCUUCGGGUUGUAAAGCACUUUCAGCGGGGAGGAAGGCGGUGAGGUUAAUAACCUCAUCGAUUGACGUUACCCGCAGAAGAAGCGCCGGCUAACUCCGUGCCAGCAGCCGCGGUGAAUACGGAGGGUGCAAGCGUUAAUCGGAAUUACUGGGCGUAAAGCGCACGCAGGCGGUCUGUCAAGUCGGAUGUGAAAUCCCCGGGCUCAACCUGGGAACUGCAUUCGAAACUGGCAGGCUAGAGUCUUGUAGAGGGGGGUAGAAUUCCAGGUGUAGCGGUGAAAUGCGUAGAGAUCUGGAGGAAUACCGGUGGCGAAGGCGGCCCCCUGGACAAAGACUGACGCUCAGGUGCGAAAGCGUGGGGAGCAAACAGGAUUAGAUACCCGAGUAGUC